GCCAUCUUCAUCCACUCAACAAGGCAAGAAUAUGAUCUUUUCUUUUAUUUAUUAUUUUUUGUAAACACAUUAAUAAUGGAUGUUGGAAGAUUGUUCACUUGGAAAGUUACUGCCAGUGUCAUAUGACAUUCAGUUCAGAAUUUGUUGGUGCCAUAUAGUUUUUGAAAUUGCUUCAUCAUAACCAGUCUUUUACUUCAAAACAUAGCUUGCACUGCACGAUUCAUUUUACAUUUACUAUUGAUUCCAAAUGUUUCAUGUAAGUGAUGCUUUAUUUAUUUAUUUUAAAGGUUAAAGACCGAUUGAAGGA
rnacentral:misc_RNA from 1 species